UCGUUGAAGGGUUCGGACGUGUUUUUCGAAGCUCUCGACGUCGUACUCAGUAUAAAUUGAACUGGGCUGGCAAAGAACGCUCAGUUGCGACUUUGAAAUUGACCGUUACGGACGUGUUUUUUAUGCGCUCUUUUUUUUACAUUGACUUAAUCUUAGUUCAAUGAAAGACUUUGACAAAGACGGACGUACUUUCGUGAGCUCUGACUAUUGAUGAAAAGUUUUGAGUUUAACUGACUUGUACUUUGAGAGUUAAAUUGACUUCGCGUUAUAGAAUAGCGACUUGGUACUCGGGUUAUGGAAUUACUGGUGGACUGCAGUGUUAGGGUAUUGUCAUGAGAUGACGGCUUGACUUUUACUUGCGUUGUGAAAUGAAAUCAUGCUCUCAUGCGAUGAUAACUUUUGAACGUUUAGUACUGACUGACAACGAAUUUUUGUGAGCGACUUGACUUCACUUUAAGUUUUGACAUCGGACUGAUCGGACGUGUUUUUUUAAGCCCUGACUGUUGUGAAUAAUUAAAUUUAUGUUGUGGUGUCAAGCGAUUGACUGUCAGUUGAGGUUCAGAUGUCGAGCUGUGCGGACGUGUUCAUCGAGCUGCUGUCUACAAAAAACGUGAGUACAAAUUUUUUUCGUUUUACUGUUUACAAGUUGCGUGAUGAUGUAUGAUGGUUGUAAUGUGUUGGGUAGAAAUUACUCAGUGCUGAUACAGUGUCGAUAUGUUGUGAUGAGCGAUAAUAGUGGAUGAUGGUGGAACAGAAUAUUCAUUGAGCUAUUUUGAGGAAGCGAACAUAUGAUGGAAAAAUGUUGCAAAAAUAUUAAAUGACAAUGUAUUGAAUCGCUUUUGUUGAUAUGUAUGAUAUUGAUUAAAUUGUAUUUGCAUGCUGUAACAUUUCUAUUUCAUUUCAGGGGGCUGUGGUGAGUAUUGUAGUAUAAAUUUGUUUCAAUAAAUCAUGAUGAAUGAAAACUGAUUUCGAUUCGUUUUGUACAGGUUUACUUGUAUAGAAGUGUAAUGUGUUGGGUAGAAAUUACUCAGUACUGAUAUAGUGUCGAUAUGUUGUGAUUAGCGAUGAUGGUGUAUGAUGGUGGAACAGAAUAUGAGCUUCUUUGGGGAAACGAACAUAUGAUUGAAAAAAAUUUGCAAACAUAGUAGAUAAAUGAUAUGAUAUUGCUUAAAUUGUAUUUGCAUGCUGUAACAUUUCUAUUUCAUUUCAGGGUGCUGUGGUGAGUACUGUAGAUUGUAGUGCAUAUGUAUAGAAUUCAAUAAAAGAUUAUGACUGAAAACUGCUUUUGAUUCUUAUUGUACAGUUUUAGGGAUUAUAAGUCUAUAGCAACUCUGUCGGUUGGUGUUCAUGAGUGUGAGCUUAAUACAGCAAUGUUUGAGUAGUACAAAAAUGUUUUCGCUUUUGUGGUCGCCAGCUGUCCGUGAUCUGUAAAGUGAAAAUACACAGAGCUAUGAAGCAUACAAAUGUUUCGAAAUUUUAUCAAUGAUUGUAUACUAUGCAUGUUUUGAUUUAGUUCGUUUCAGAUUUGACAUGAGAUGAAAACCUGACAUGAUUUGAACAGAGCUGGGAAACGAAAAGGUAAGUCUGUUUCAUUCCACUAUGAACACUUGUAUUUUGACAAAAGAAGAGAUAAAGUGAGUUACUUUAUCAUCAUGGUUUCAUUUGGUGUAUUACACAUGAACAGAGGUAAACCUAGCUAGCUUUUCGUGUACUCUAUUUUGGAUGAUGAGUAUGUCAGUAACUUUAAUUGUACGGCUAGUAAAGUAUGAACAUGAAUGCUUUGUUCAGAUUUUCAGAUGUGUGCUGGCAGUUCAAGUCUGGCAGCUGGAGUGAACAGUCGUGUUUUCUGGAGCUCCAACAAUAUGCUAGAAGGUAAGUAACUAUGUUUGUUUUGCAUUGCAUGUUUUAUAUGUUUCAGACUUUCAAGCAGAGAUGUCAUGCUGACUGGAGUUGAGCACAGGGCAGUGACAAAGUGAAAGGUAAGUACUUUUGACUGAAUGUUUGUUCUAUGCAUGUUUUGUUUUAAUACAUUUCAGGAGUGCUUAUCCAGUGAUGAUAUGACAGUUGGAGUGAACAGUGGAGCCAAGCAGUCUUGUUUUUGGAGCUACUCAACAAGCCUUGAAGGUAAGUUUAGAAUUUCUCAAUGUUAGUGAAUUUAAGUACUGUCACUUGCUUUUGGACAGUCGAACAGAACAGACGUGGUUGCGAGAGCUCUCAUAUCUGUUGUGUUAAACUGUUUUUAUGAUAUGUUAUGUUUGUUUGUUUGUUUGUGAUGUACUAUUUUUCAGAUGCUGAUGGCAGUGAUGGGUUUUCAAGCUGACCUGAACAGAAAAGCACUCAUAUGGUAAGUACAAAAUAGUUGUUAUAUGGGAUGUUUUGUGCAUGCUUCUAUGUUUCAGGUGUACUUGCUGACAGCGACGAAGACGAUACGAGAAGAGGAACAUUGUUGAGAAUGUGAUUGGGACUUGCAAACAGGGUAAGUGUAACAAUUGUGUUUGUUUAAUUUGUAACAUGCGUGCUUUGCUCUGUUUCAGAUUUCACAUGCAGAAAUUAAACAGGAUCUCAACUGCUGAAACACAAUUCAUCAAAAGUAAGGUAAGUUUUAAUUCAUUGAUUUGAGUUGUACAAUGUGUUCUUUACUUUAUUUCAGAUUCGAGUCACUGGUUUACACAUGGAAGAAGAUUUCCACGUCUGUUACUCAACUCUACAGAAGCAAGGUAAGUCGAUCAAAUUUUUGUUUUAGUUUGUACUGCUGUAAUGUGAUGGUAAACUUAUGCUAUUUUUCAUGUGUGCUAUGCAGAGAUGGAGAAUUCAAUUUUAAGAAAGAUUAACUGCUGCAGCUUAGCUCUGCUCUGUGUUGAUUUUUGUUCAAAAACGUUUAAAAUGUAUGUGUGUUUGAAGAUGUUUUGUUUCAGUUGAUGUCCAGAUGGCAAGCAGUACAGACGUGUUUCUUGAGGCUGCCAAACAGUGAGUACAAACGUUUUAUAUUUUUCAGUUGUUUACUCAUAGAAGUCUGUGAAAGAUGAUAACAAGGGUUGAAUCUAUCAGCACUUGUGUCUAAAAAUGCUGAUGUGUGAUGGUUUACUGAAAGGGGUAAAUGCUAGCCAGUACUUACACUUGAGCAACCGUGGGAUGUCGAACUAACUGAUGAUGUACUAUGAUGGUGAACACUUACUUUGUGUAUCGAAAUGCUUUUGUUGAUAUUUACUAAAUAUUGAUUGACAUUUGUUUGCAUGCUGUUAACAUUUCUAUUUCAUUUCAGUUGGCUGUGGUGAGUAUUGUAGUAUACAUUUGUUUCAAUAAAUCAUGAUGAAUGAACACUGAUUUCGAUUCUUUUUGUACAGUUUUAGGUAUUAGCACUCUAUACAAAACUCUGUCGGUCUGUGUUUGUGAAUGUGAGCUUAAUGUUUGAGUAGAACAAAAAUGUCUUUACUUUUGUGAUCGCCAGUUGUCUGUGAUGUAAAGUGGAAAAAACACAGCUAUGAAGCAUACAAUUGUUUCAAUAUUUUAUCAAUGAUAGUGUGCUAUGCAUGUUUUGAUUUAGUUCGUUUCAGAUACGACAUGACAUGAAGAGUUGACAGUCGAACAGAGCUGAGCAAAGCAGAAAGGUAAGUGUGUUUCAUUUUAGUAUGGACACUUGUAUUUUGUUUUUAUAUGGUAUGUUUUGUGCAUGCUAUGUUUCAGGUGUACUUGUAGUCAGCGACGAAGACGAUUCAAGAAGAGGAACAUUGCUGAGAAAGUGAAUGGGACUUGCAAACAGGGUAAGUGUUACAAUUGUUCUUUUGAUUUUUGCCAUGCAUACUUUGCUUUGCUCUGUUUCAGAUUUCACAUGCAGAAAUGGUCUCAUAGCAGUGCCAACAGUGAAUAAGGAUUUCAGCUGCUGUGAAACAACUCAACAGAAAGUAGGUAAGCAUUGAAUGAAUGCACUUGAGUUGUACAAUUUGAUGUGAUGCUUUUCUCUGUUUUAGAUUCAAGUUCCUGGUGUAGACAGAGAAAUGUGUUUGAAGAAGGAAUUCUACUACUGUGAUUCAACUCUACAGAAGCAAGGUAAGUAGAAACACAAUUUUGGUUUAAUUUAACUCAUGUGUUUUGCACUGCAUGCUAUUUUUCAGGUCUCUCAUGCAGUGAUGCAAAAGAAGAAGAUUUCAAGAAAGAAUCACUGCUGCAACUCAGGCCUAUAACAAGGUAAGUGUUUACUAUAUUGUAUACAAAAUGUUUCUCUGUUUUACUCUGUUUGAAGGUUUCAAUUGCAGAGAUGUUGCAGAGAUGUUUUGACAGCUUGUGACAGAAAAGAAAUUCAGCAGCUGUGUCUCGACUCUAGCCACGAGGUAAGUCAAAACAAAUAUACUGGUUUGUAUGUUAUGUUGUUAUGCCCUUCUAUGUUUCAGACUUACAUUGCUGUGACUGUUCCACAGUGGGUCAAAAAAGAGACGAAUACAGGUUUCAAGAAGAAAAUUGGCUGUUGAAAACCUGCACAAAAUAUGAGGUAAGUAAACUAUUCUUUUGGUUUGUUUUGUGCUUUGUUAUGCUUUACUAUUUUUCAGAUUGGAAUGGUGGGUCGUUACAGAGCAGACUUUUGGACAACUGAGAAGUUGAGAAACAGAGAAUGAUUCAAGAUCAGCUAGGUAAGUCUUGAUUAUUGUGCAUUGCUAAAUGUUUUUUUUCAUUCCAGUAUGGCUGUGGUAAGUACACAAACUUUCUAUAAUUUAAUAUUGAACUGUUUUUAUGACCUGUAUUCUGCAUUGUAAAAUGUCUGUUUUUCAUUUCAGUAUCCUGUGGUAAGUACACUAACUUUCUUUAAUUUUCAUAUUGAACUGUUUUGAUGACUUGUAUACUACUAUGCAAUGCCUAAUGUUUUUUUCAUUUCAGUAGCCUGUUGGUAAGUACACUAACUUUCUAUAAUUUCAUAGUGAAUUGUUUUGAUGACCUGUAUUCUGCAUUGUAAAAUGUGUUUCUUUUUCAUUUCAGUAUGGCUGUGGUAAGUACAAUUGCCUUUCAUAUUGAACUGUUUUGAUGACCUGUAUUUUGCAUUGUAAAAUGUGUUUCUUUUUCAUUUCAGUAUGGCUGUGGUAAGUACACAAACUUUCUUUAAUUUUCAUAUUGAACUGUUUUGAUGACUUGUAUUCUACUAUGCAAUGCUUAAUGUAUUUUUUUCAGUAGCCUGUUGGUAAGUACAAUUGCCUUCUUUAAUUUUCAUAUUGAACUGUUUUGAUGAUGUGUAUACUGCUAUGCAAUGCUUAAUGUUUUUUUCAUUUCAGUAUGGCUGUGGUAAGUACACAUACUUUCUAUAAUUUCAUAUUGAACUGUUUUGAUGACUUGUAUACUGCUAUGCAAAAUGUCUGUUUUUCAUUUCAGUAGCCUGUGGUAAGUACACUAACUUUCUAUAAAUUCAUAUUGAACUGUUUUGAUGACUUGUAUACUGCUAUGCAAAAUGUCUGUUUUUCAUUUCAGUAGCCUGUGGUAAGUACACUAACUUUCUAUAAAUUCAUAUUGAACUGUUUUGAUGAUUUGUAUACUGCUAUGCAUUGCUAAAUGUUUUUUUCAUUUCAGUAUAGCUGUGGUAAGUACACUAACUUUCUUUAAUUUUCAUAUUGAACUGUUUUGAUGACUUGUAUUCUGCUAAACAAAAUGUGCUUUUUUCAAUUUCAGGUCAGCAAUGGUAAGUAGAUUGUGUUUCUUUAUGUAUAAUUGUGUAUACAAAGUUUUUUUUUCAUCAUAGCAUGUCUUUUAUAUUUAUGCUUUGUGUAAGUAAAAUGUUCAUAAAUCAUUCUUAUCUUCAAACUAAAAAUGUAUUGUGCUAUGCAAAAUGUCUGUAUGAUUUCAGUUGCCAGAGGUGAGUACCAUUACAGUUGAAAAGUUAGUUUUGUUUAGUUAAAGUUUUGGUUCACAGUUCUGUUUGUUAUUUGGCAAAAUUUACAUGUAUGCAUUGAGUCUUGAUUUCAGCUCGAUUGUGGACUGAAGAAGAUUGCCAGCAGAGGGAUUGGAUACAAAAUACAAACUUUACUGCUGGACGAGUGUUCUCUACUACUAGACGUGUCAGGUUUACUACCAGGCGAGCAGUGACAACAAGGCGCCUUUGUGGAAACAGCAAAACAAACAACUCUACUGCAAGACGAGCAGUAACAGCAAGGCGCCUGAACAUGCAACACAAUACAAAAAAUGCCAAUAUCCAAACCUUGAUGUGGACACCGAGUAGUCAAUACAUACGUGUGGCGUAUAGCUGCGACAAAACCGUGGGUCCAUCGCACCGAUAACUUGAACAUUGGCCCGUGUAUGGACAUCAGUGCAACUUUGUGAAUCCAUGUAUCUUUGUGAAUCCAUGUAACAUUGCGAAUGUGUGUCGAUCGAAAAAUGUGUACAUUCUGAACUGAAACGAACUCGGUGUUGCAAGUGGCAAGUGUUGACAGUGUGUAUGUUAAUGUUUAUGUUUUUACAUGAAAACUAAAGGAGAUUGUUCUCCUACCUUUUUUUUCCUUGUUUUAUUGCGCUGGCCAGCAAUAUUGAUGUAUUGAUGUAUGUGUUUGUGUUUAAACUAUGCAAUACCAAAAUCAAACAAAAAAUAAACAUUAACAGUCAUUAACUGUG